rnacentral:rRNA from 1 species
CAAUAGCGUAUAUUAAAGUUGUUGCAGUUAGAACGCUCGUAGUCGGAUUUCGGGGCGGGUCGACCGGUCUGCCGAUGGGUACGCACUGGCCGACGCGUCCUUCCUUCCGGAGACCGUCUCACUCUUAACUGAGCGGAGGCGGGAGACGGAACGUUUACUUUGAAAAAUCAGAGUGUUUCUAGCAGGCAGCUCGCUCUUGCAUAGGUUAGCAUUGGAUAAUUUAAUAGGACUCUGGUGCUAUUUUGUUGGUUUCGAACACCGGAGUAAUGAUUAAAAGGGGCAGUCAGGGGCACUCGUAUUCCGUCGAGAGAGGUGAAAUUCUCAGACCAAUGGAAGACGAACCACUGCGAAAGCAUUUGCCAGGGAUGUUUUCACUGAUCAAGAACGAAAGUUAGGGGAUCGAAGACGAUCAGAUACCGU